AUUUUUAAUUUCAGCUAAACAUUUCAAAGCAAGUACAAGGAUUAUUUUCUCAUUUAUUUAUACGUAAUUUGUUCAAAGAUCCUUUGUGUUGGUUUAUCGACGCCUAAAUAUUUCUAUAUGUGUAUGAUAUUUUGUUCUUAAAAAAUUUUACUCUUAUUAGAGAAGAUUUUGAAAUUGGUUUUUACAUACAUUUGGAUCUGGUCAUAUUUUACAUACUGUGUAUAUAUGUAUAUUAAUAUAUUGAAUAUUAAUAGUGUAUGUAAUAAUCUUAAUUGUAAUUGCUACACGACCACGCAUGCGGUUUCGUUGCCGGAGCAGUCACAUUUACCCAUACUUGUAUUAUCGCCAUUAAUUUGCAGAUUACUUGUUCUUUCGAUAUUCACAUACUAAUAAAGUACUUUUUUACACUGGUGUAAAUUUCCCGUCAUGUCGAAUGACUACCAUAACUAAUUAUGUUGAAGAUGUAGUUAGAAACUCAAUUAUUUAAAACUGCUUCGAAUAUUAUAUAUAUAUUAUAAAUAUUUUACAUACAUACUCACAAAAAAAUAUGCUUUUAAUUUGAAUUAAUAUUCUUUUGAAUAUGUAUAACAGUGUACUUCAUGUCUACUCUGAAAUGUAUGCAUCUAUUUCAACCGUAAAUAUCAGUUUCAGCAAUAACCGCUUAAUCAGAACUCACCUUAAUGUAUUGCUGUAAAAUGCAACAAACUCUUUUGGUUGAGUAAAAUUUAAAAUUGUUAUCACUAAAGAUAUUUUUGAUAUUAAUUAUCUUGUUUCAUUAAAUAAUUGUAAACGUUUAACCUCACUUGAAAGAAGAGAACUUUUUUCUAUAAAAAUUAUUUCUGUAGUCAAAUAAUAAACGAUUCUUAAUCCACGAAUUUUUCAGUUAGCAAUAUACAUACACAUAUGGUCAUUUGAAUAGAAUCACAUGCAUUAUUACACCAUUUUUCACAUUUUUCAAAUUGUUUGUUUGCAAAAACUCGCUUGAAUGAUGUAGAAUUGGAGUAAAAUUUAUUGGAAUAUGAAAACAAAUAUAACAAUCAAUUUCAUGGAGCUUGCAGUAGUUUCGGAAUGAAAUGUUUUCUAAAAAGAUAUGCAUGAAUGACCUGUGGGAAUGAGAAAUCUAUACAAAAUAAACCGAUUUGAGAAAGGAGCAAAUAAAAUUCGAGAAAAUAUACAUAUCUGUAAUAAUAGUUGUGAAACAAAAUAUAGACAGUUCAGGACUAUGGAGGAAGUAAUAUAUGAAAUAAGGAGUACUUAAGAUAUAUAAUUCAGUUGGGAAUGAGAAUUCUAUUCAAAAUUAACAUACUUGAGAGAGAAGCAAAUGAAAUUCGAGAAAAUAUAUCGGAACACAAAAUAUUAACAGUUCAAGUCAAUGGAGGAAGUAAUAUAUGAAAUAAGAGAGUGCUUAAGAUAUACUAUAUAAUUCAGUUGGUGAAAAGUUUAAAAUCCAAAGCAAAUAAUAUUUAUUUCAAUAUAUCAAAGAAAGGAAUGUGAUAUUGAGUGAAAUAAUGAAUCUGGAGUUCCUUGCCACUAGAAUACGCCGUCAAAUUAGUAGAAAGCAUGCCUCGGAGAUGCCAGGCAAUUAUCGACGCCGAUGAUGACUGGACAUAUUAUUGACCAAAUUUCAUCAUUGUUUGUAAUGUGUACAAUGUAUAUGUAUAUAAAUAUGAAAGUUUCAAAAAAUAAUUUUUUUUUAUAAAUUAACACAACCACGCUCUUACUUGACAGACUGUACUAAACAGUAAAGACUUAUAAUUCGAGAGCAUAAAAAUGGAAUUUUUCUAACAGAAAAAUUGUGCGACUUAACUGAACCCAGUUGAAUUAGCCUUGAACUCUCUGAUUGCUUGCAGUUGUCUCCCGUCCUCGUCAGAGAAAAAUUUACAAAGUUGCAAAAAAUCAAAGUGAUGAACUAGGAAACACAUUUAGGAUGCGACCUUUGACCAAAUCGAAAAAAAUGAAUAAUAACAUAAAAGAAAAGUUCAGAACAAAAUGCGUUAUGCAGUUUCGUAAAAAAUCUCGCAAAUAUAGUGAACACUGAGCAUUCCAUUAAUAUACCAAAAAUUAAAACAACAUAAGCUAUCUGCAUAUCACUGGGAUAAACAGAAAAAAUAAUGAAAUGAAAAUAGGAACAAACCAAGAAUAGGAAAAUGAAACAAACAGAGAAAAUGUGAAAAUAGUAUUGAUUUAAAGCGUGUAUAUUUUUCUGGCCAUAUUUGUAGAAAUUUCAAAGUUUAUAAAUUUUUAUGAUCCUUCUAUAAUAUUUUCGUGAAAAAAAGAAAAUUUAUAAUAAUUAUAUCAAACCAAUUAAUAUUUCUUUUAAUAACGGCAUAAUCAGUAGUAAACUAUUUAAAUAAAUGAUUGCUUUUGAUUCGAUCUGUUUUUAUAAUUAAAAACUAUAUUCACACUUAUCUAAUAUAAAAACAACUAUAAAAAAUAAGCUUUGCAUAUGUCUAAAAGACCCAUCGUUGAUAUUGAUUAAAAGCGCUCAAUUUUUAUUUAAUCUUCACUUCAAAGCUUCGUUAUUGAAAAUUUUUCAAAAUUCAACAAUUAACUUUCAGCACAAAAACUACCAAUUUCAAUUUGAGUUUUUGUUUCGGUAGAAAACUAAUUUUCUACAUAACUUCAAUUUCAUAAUACUCUUUAUUCAAGAAGCUUCAUUGAAUUUUACUAUUUACUUCAUUUCGUAUUCAAUAAUAUUUAAUAUAAAUUUUCGGGGUGAGGUUCUUCUCUAGUCUUUUAUAUGAAUUUAUUUCAUAACACAUCAAUAAAAAUAUAACUCCUCUGUGGUCUUCUCAACACCACAAAAAUGAACCUCACCCACCAAAAUAUAUAAACAAAGAGAUCAAUAAUGCACUUGCAUAAAAUUCGUUAAACGAGCAUGGAUGACUUUGUGGACGACCGAAGGAAGCCAGUUAAACUGAGAGUGAGCGCGUUGCAGAAGAACCCUACCGAGGAUGCGAAUAGUAAUCUAGCUGAAGCUGAAGUUCAAAGAAGAUUUUUGAUACAACUUCCAAUAUCAUGGAAAAGCAGCAUACAUCAUUGAAGGUUCCGUUAGUUACCCAAAAGAAGCAUCUACGCGUGAUAAUCUUCAGUUGAAAUGUCAUCAGAUAUGUAUAUGCUUAUAUAAUGUUUACUUGUCAAAUUUUAUUUCCUUCGCCCGUUUUGUAAAAUGAAAUUGCAAUUUAUUUAAUAGUUUAUAAGUUUAAUAUAUUUAAAUAUAAAAUUAUUAACAAAUAAACCAAUGUUCCAAUAUGAAAAACGAAA